rnacentral:rRNA from 1 species
GGGGAAUAUUGGACAAUGGGCGCAAGCCUGAUCCAGCCAUGCCGCGUGAGUGACGAAGGUCUUCGGAUUGUAAAGCUCUUUUGGCGGGGACGAUAAUGACGGUACCCGCAGAAUAAGCCCCGGCUAACUUCGUGCCAGCAGCCGCGGUAAUACGAAGGGGGCUAGCGUUGUUCGGAAUCACUGGGCGUAAAGCGCACGUAGGCGGACUCAUAAGUCAGGGGUGAAAUCCCGGGGCUCAACCUCGGAACUGCCUUUGAUACUGUGAGUCUCGAGACCGGAAGAGGUGAGUGGAAUUCCUAGUGUAGAGGUGAAAUUCGUAGAUAUUAGGAAGAACACCAGUGGCGAAGGCGGCUCACUGGUCCAGUUCUGACGCUGAGGUGCGAAAGCGUGGGGAGCAAAC